AAAAAAGUUCAGUUCAAGUAAACCCGUGUAGAUAGUAGAAAAGUGUGUUAUAAUUUUGAUUGGGACCAUAUGAAAUUGGCUGGCUAGCAGGGUCUGACACAAACCCCCUAAAUUUACGAGGCCGUUCCGCCUAGGGAUCCUACAUUCAGAGAUAUGCGAAAGCGGCCAUCUUGAGCCAAUCGAGCAUUGAGAGCUGUCAAAAUCUGAGCCAAAUGAACAUCGUUAUUGUUGCAGAUCGAAAGGUAUUGCGAUUUUGGUGAAAGAGAUUUUAUGAAAAGUUUUAUCGAAUAAACAAUUUGUUUUGCUUUCCGAAAAUGCACUGCUAGAGGAUAGACAAAAUAAUCAAAAGGUGUCUUCGAAUGUAAAGUCAUGUGCAAGCCUAAACAUUUUUCACUGCGGCAAGUGCUGGCAGCGUUUGUUUACAAAAGUAACAGCGUUGCUAAAUCGUCUGCAAAAGUAUUCGCACAUCUCUUAAUAUAGGAUCCCUAGUUCCGCCUAUAUUUUCGGUAAACUAUGCUGCACAAUUUUGCUAAGAGUAACUCGCUGGCCCUCGGACGAUUAUCAGCUGCCCCUAACAUGGAGAACAGAUGCUGUUGUGAGCCGCUUCUAACCUGGAGAACAUUCAUUACAUUCAUUACAACCUGGAGAACAGACGCUCGUUUAGAUGUUCACCCCAAGAGAGGAGCAAACCCCCUUCACGUUCCCUGUCAGCAUACAACCAUAGUUCCCACUGGGGUUGGUUACCCGAUACUCCCUAAGGUUGCACGUUCCCCGGCCAGCACCACGGAGAGGCAGGGAUAGACGUUGCUGAGUAAGAGGCUGAGAACCGCGAGAUGGGGUAUAUCUCGGGGUAUAUUUUAUUCCUUCAGGUACGCGAAGUUCCAAUGUGAACCAAAAUGAGAAAUAAAACUUUUGGGUACAAGGUAACACCCUUUAGUAUGCGACACAAACGGAUGAUCGGAAGGAUCUGCAAAAGCUGCCUAAAAUACAGGUCUGGAAUCAAGGAAACCGUCAUCAUGUUGCGUAUUCAAUCGACUGGAUAGCGAUUUUA